UUGGGGAGUAGUCUAACGGUAGGAUUUCUGGCUUUCAACUAGAAGGUAUGGGUUCGAUUCCCAUCUCCCCAGCCC
rnacentral:tRNA from 1 species